GGGCGCGUAGCUCAGCGGGAGAGCACUGCCUUGACAUGGCAGGGGUCACAGGUUCAAUCCCUGUCGCGCCCA
rnacentral:tRNA from 1 species